rnacentral:rRNA from 1 species
UAGGGAAUCUUCCGCAAUGGACGCAAGUCUGACGGAGCAACGCCGCGUGAGUGAAGAAGGAUUUCGGUUCGUAAAACUCUGUUGUUAGAGAAGAACAGCGCAUAGAGUAACUGUUAUGCGUGUGACGGUAUCUAACCAGAAAGCCACGGCUAACUACGUGCCAGCAGCCGCGGUAAUACGUAGGUGGCAAGCGUUGUCCGGAUUUAUUGGGCGUAAAGCGAGCGCAGGCGGUCAAUUAAGUCUGAUGUGAAAGCCCCCGGCUCAACCGGGGAGGGUCAUUGGAAACUGGUUGACUUGAGUGCAGAAGGGGAGGGUGGAAUUCCAUGUGUAGCGGUGAAAUGCGUAGAUAUAUGGAGGAACACCGGUGGCGAAAGCGGCUCUCUGGUCUGUAACUGACGCUGAGGCUCGAAAGCGUGGGGAGCGAACAGG